rnacentral:lncRNA from 1 species
CUAACUAGACAUAUGUGAAUGGUGUUUGCAUGAAUGCAGAAUUUUAUUUUUCCGAGAAUGAUCUCGCUUAGGUUAUCACUACUCGAAGUUUAUCAAGGUUUUGUGACUGAUGUGCUACAACGCCUUCUCGCUUGACUGAUUUUUCUGAAGAAACAUUUAGCCAGACUGUCCCCGUUGUAAACCUCAAAGUUAUAUCCACUGGGACACCAAAAUUUGUACCAUCAUUCUCUCACAGUAAUCUAAGGGUAGAAAUAUGUGACUUUUCCUCUGUCCUCUUUUAUCACAAUUCGGGGAUAUAGGAUCUGAACCGUUCUGGUUUCCUACACCAUUCUCAAGGUGUCAUACCAAAGUCUUAUGCGCAAGUGAAGGCUCUUUUCUCCGAGGUAACCUCUUCCUAUUGCCUGAUGAUCAUUGCUUGCUUGUUCAUUUAAGCUUUGUAAUUAAUACGACAGCUUGUCAUUUUGUUCAAUCAAUGUUUAGACGACAAAAUCUGAA